GAUGAACGCUGGCGGCGUGCCUAAUACAUGCAAGUCGAGCGAACAGACGAGGAGCUUGCUCCUCUGACGUUAGCGGCGGACGGGUGAGUAACACGUGGAUAACCUACCUAUAAGACUGGGAUAACUUCGGGAAACCGGAGCUAAUACCGGAUAAUAUAUUGAACCGCAUGGUUCAAUGGUGAAAGACGGUUUUGCUGUCACUUAUAGAUGGAUCCGCGCCGCAUUAGCUAGUUGGUAAGGUAACGGCUUACCAAGGCGACGAUGCGUAGCCGACCUGAGGGGGUGAUCGGCCACACUGGAACUGAGACACGGUCCAGACUCCUACGGGAGGCAGCAGUAGGGAAUCUUCCGCAAUGGGCGAAAGCCUGACGGAGCAACGCCGCGUGAGUGAUGAAGGUCUUCGGAUCGUAAAACUCUGUUAUUAGGGAAGAACAAAUGUGUAAGUAACUAUGCACGUCUUGACGGUACCUAAUCAGAAAGCCACGGCUAACUACGUG
rnacentral:rRNA from 1 species